rnacentral:rRNA from 1 species
CAAUAGCGUAUAUUAAAGUUGUUGCAGUUAAAAAGCUCGUAGUUGGAUUUCUGGUCGGAAGCUCCUGUCCUCUGAUGAGCGUACAAGUGCGUCCUACCAUCCUUCUGUUAACCUUUAAGGCUUUCGCGGCUUUCUAGGGGCUCAGAUAUUUUACCUUGAGAAAAUUAGAGUGUUUCAGGCAGGCUAGCGCCGGAAUACAUUAGCAUGGAAUAAUGGAAUAGGACUUUUGCCUCUUCUGUCGGUCAUGAGGCUCGAGUAAUGAUUAAUAGGGAUAGUUGGGGGCAUUAGUACUUAACUGUCAGAGGUGAAAUUCUCGGAUUUGUUAAAGACUAACUUAUGCGAAAGCAUUUGCCAAGGAUGUUUUCAUUAA